AUAUAUAGUAGAGGGCUCUGAAAGACAUGUUGCUUUCCCAUGUCUCCCCUGCAUUUUCUGUUAUAAAGCAGCAGGAAUGCAUUCCUGAGAGAAAGCUACAUGAUCUUCCUCACCUUCAAAACUGUGAGCACAAUAAAUGGCUGGCACUUUCUUCAGAUUUAUGUGUCUACUCCUCAGAGUUGGGCAAUAGCAAAGUAACUAAGAAAGAGUCAAGUGGUUUGGUCUUGACGGGCAAGCCAAAGAAGAAUCAGGACAAUUCUCGGCAAGACGGUUCUCUUCCUUAAACUCCCAGUUACAUCUCCUCUCCUCUUUGCUUCUAUGAAGAUGCUCCUCCAUCCACCCAAAUACUCCUGCCUCACUGCUCUAGCAUCCCUCUAUGCUCAAGCCUCCACAGGACCAAGGACCUCUCAUCUCAAUGAUGCCAGAUAAGACUAUCCUCUGCUAUAGAUGUAGUUGGAGCCAUGGAUCCCUCCAUGUAUACUGUUUGGUUGGCGGUUUGAUCCCUAAGAGCUCUGUAUAGUCCAUUUUUAAAUCUAACAUGUUUAAUUGAUACUUUAAUGAGUGGUUUUCUCAAAGCUAUGCAAUAGAAUUGAAAUGAUAUAACAUGGAUAAUGAAAUCAGUAAAGGAAAUGAAAAUAUUAUCGUUGAAUUUUCAAGAUGUAUAUGAAAGGCUACAUUUUUUUAUAAUAUCUAUGGGCUUCUAUUUAUCCAUUUUAAGUCACACUAUACACAGUCAGCUGAAAUUUCAGAGUAUCUGGAAGCAACUCUAUAAUACAUCAAUGAUGUCUAAGUUAACAUUUCAUUGCUCCAGUUUUUCCCUCUAUAUCUGACAUGUUGAGAGCCACUGAACAAAGUUAAAUUGACAGGUAUUUACUGAAUGCCUGGCAGCUGCAGCUAAUGAACCUUAGAUAGUUUGCAUUUCCAGUUUCUGUUGGCAGCUGGGAUCUGCUGAUAACUGCUAGUUUUUAUGAAGAAGAUGGAAUGAGGGGACACAUGGCACAGAAAAGUGUACAUUUAAUGAAGAGCAUUUUUAGAGCAGAUGAGGAAAAAUAUUCAGAGUUUCGUAGGUUCUAGGAUAUUAUCAUCAAAUGAGGCAGAAAGAAGAAAAACCACUAGACUUUUGUGUACUUCCUAUAUCAGAAUAAUCAAAGAAGAAGAGGCUAUCAAUCUGAAAGUGGGGGGUUAUGGGAGGGAAGGAUUUGAAAGAUGGUGGGGUAGGGGGACUGAAGAGAGGAAAGGGAGAAGAAAAUAUUAGAAUUCUAGUUUCAUUAAAACGUAUUUUAUGGGUAUGUAGCUUUUGGUAUUCCUAGAAAAGACAAUCGCACAUAAAAUCGCCAAUUUUCUGGCUCUUACAAUCCUGUCCACUCCUUUUUCUGCUGUGAUCCCUGAGUACUGGGUUUAGGGAUUGUUGUAAAUGUUGGGCUCUACAACUCUGCAUUUUGAUUCAUCGUGAUCCUCUGUAAAUAUUACAUACAUAUUACAUGUAUGUAGUAAUUCAUUUAAAAAGAGGCCAUGAGUUAAAAGAAGAGUGGGGGAGGGGUAGUUUUAUAAUUGUAAUCUCAAAUUUCAUUUAAAAACAUAGAUUUAAAAUGAAAAGAAAAAUAACACUAAUCCCAAACCUUCCUUUCCAGAAUACCUUCAGCUCCAUAAGAUACAGAUGGAGGUUCAAAGGUUUGGGAGUUGAAAACACUACAGUAAGAGAAUUUGAAAAACCAUGGGGACACUGUCGGUGGUUCUGAGAGCCAUGCCAGGCACAACAUUUAAUACUGAUGCGUUCAGAGACAGGGAGGAGUGAACUGAGUCUUGGGGAUCUCGCGUGAUCUCACAGCCUGCAUAGAGCUGAGGGAGAAGCCCGGCAGUUAGUGAAUGAGCAGGACAAGAGGAAAAACCUCUCCAGGCCAGGCCUGUGCCAAAGGACAUCACAGUGUUCAGCCCAUGCUGGAGUGUUCCCUGCAGUUGUCUUAACCAAGUGGGAACUCUGUGCCCAUCGACAAUGAGGCCGAUGGCAUUGUGUUAAGACUAAGAAGAGGAAAAUAAAUAAAUCCUACAUGAAUAAUUAUAGCCUUUUCUUGUCUUCAAUAGCCUUUUAUUUAUGGUGAUUGUGUGUGUGCACCCACGUGUGUGUAUGUUUGUGUGUGUGUGUGUGUGUGUGUGUGUAAAAAUUCUAUAAUUGCAAUGGAGUGAAAGUACAGUAGUGUAACAUGAAAAUAAUGAAUGGUUCCUAGUGAGCUUCCAAAAGAAAAGCAGGAGGCACAUUCAUAGGUCAGAGUAUUCCAGACAAGAAGCCAAUGAGAUGCUCAAUGGAUAAGGCAUUUGUCAAUAACUCUUACAACUUGAACUUGUACCCCAGUUACCACCUACUAAAAAGAAUGAAUUCAGUCCCAAAAACAAUCUUCUGACCUACAUACAUUAUACCUUGGCACACAAAUAUUCAUACGUAUACAUAUACACAAAAUGUUAAUAUUUGAGUUACUGAAAAAAAUGUUCCAUAUAGUAAAAGGAAACAUAUCAAAGGAAUAGGCAUUGUUGUACAGAUGCAAUAAGGACUAAGGAUCUUGUGGCUUUCUAUUAUCCUCCAAGUGUUCUCUUCUGCAAGUUGUGUCCUGGGUGAAGCACUCUUUGGAGCUGAUGCGACCUCUACAAAAUAGAGUCCAGUGAUGGGUGCCUAGUCAAUGAGAGUGCAGAUAGUUUUUCUGAGACUGGUAAAUUCCUGCUAAAAAAAUAAAAACAAGAUGGUCCCUUGCUGAGUACACUAGUUCCCCCACAGUGCUGGCAUCCAUCUUAACUCAAUGUAUUGUACUAGUUGGAGCUUAAACAAGGCCGAACAUCAUGGGGUCUGUGGCACAUGGGUGUUUGUUCC